rnacentral:rRNA from 1 species
UAGGGAAUCUUCCGCAAUGUGCGAAAGCCUGACGGAGCAACGCCGCGUGAGUGAUGAAGGUCUUCGGAUCGUAAAACUCUGUUAUUAGGGAAGAACAAAUGUGUAAGUAACUAUGCACGUCUUGACGGUACCUAAUCAGAAAGCCACGGCUAACUACGUGCCAGCAGCCGCGGUAAUACGUAGGUGGCAAGCGUUAUCCGGAAUUAUUGGGCGUAAAGCGCGCGUAGGCGGUUUUUUAAGUCUGAUGUGAAAGCCCACGGCUCAACCGUGGAUGGUCAUUGGAAACUGGAAAACUUGAGUGCAGAAGAGGAGAGUGGAAUUCCAUGUGUAGCGGUGAAAUGCGCAGAGAUAUGGAGGAACACCAGUGGCGAAGGCGACUUUCUGGUCUGUAACUGACGCUGAUGUGCGAAAGCGUGGGGAUCAAACAGG